rnacentral:rRNA from 1 species
CAUGCAAGUCGAACGAGAAUCUGAUGAUGGAGUUUUCGGACAACUGAUUCAGAGGAAAGUGGCGGACGGGUGAGUAACGCGUGAGGAACCUGCCUUGAAGAGGGGGACAACAGUUGGAAACGACUGCUAAUACCGCAUGACGCAUAGGGAUCGCAUGAUCUUUAUGCCAAAGAUUUAUCGCUUCAAGAUGGCCUCGCGUCUGAUUAGCUAGUUGGCGGGGUAACGGCCCACCAAGGCGACGAUCAGUAGCCGGACUGAGAGGUUGAACGGCCACAUUGGGACUGAGAUACGGCCCAGACUCCUACGGGAGGCAGCAGUGGGGAAUAUUGGGCAAUGGGCGCAAGCCUGACCCAGCAACGCCGCGUGAAGGAAGAAGGCUUUCGGGUUGUAAACUUCUUUUAAGAGGGAAGAGCAGAAGACGGUACCUCUAGAAUAAGCCACGGCUAACUACGUGCCAGCAGCCGCGGUAAUACGUAGGUGGCAAGCGUUGUCCGGAUUUACUGGGUGUAAAGGGCGUGCAGCCGGGUCUGCAAGUCAGAUGUGAAAUCCAUGGGCUCAACCCAUGAACUGCAUUUGAAACUGUAGAUCUUGAGUGUCGGAGGGGCAAUCGGAAUUCCUAGUGUAGCGGUGAAAUGCGUAGAUAUUAGGAGGAACACCAGUGGCGAAGGCAGAUUGCUGGACGAUAACUGACGGUGAGGCGCGAAAGUGUGGGGAGCAAACAGGAUUAGAUACCCUGGUAGUCCACACUGUAAACGAUGAAUACUAGGUGUGCGGGGACUGACCCCCUGCGUGCCGCAGUAAACACAAUAAGUAUUCCACCUGGGGAGUACGAUCGCAAGGUUGAAACUCAAAGGAAUUGACGGGGGCCCGCACAAGCGGUGGAUUAUGUGGUUUAAUUCGAAGCAACGCGAA